AUCACUUCUCAGCCUUCUGGCUAAGGUCAAGUGUAAUAUCUGUUCUUAUCAGUUUAAUAGCUGAUAUGUCCUUGAUGAGAGGACUUUAUAUUAAGCAGAUUUUUGGGCCUGUGUAGGGUAUGGUCUGAAACUGCAUCAGGGAAGGUUUAGGUUGGAUGUCAGGAGACACUUCCUCAGGGAGA
rnacentral:snRNA from 1 species